rnacentral:rRNA from 1 species
UACGGGGGGGGCAAGCGUUGUUCGGAAUUACUGGGCGUAAAGGGCGCGUAGGCGGUGCUCUAAGUCGGAUGUGAAAACUCUGGGCUCAACCCAGAGCCUGCAUCCGAAACUGGAGUGCUAGAGUUCUGGAGGGGGUAGCGGAAUUCCUGGUGUAGCGGUGAAAUGCGUAGAUAUCAGGAGGAACACCGGUGGCGAAGGCGGCCCUCUGGCUCGACCCUGACGCUGAGAGGCGAAAGCGUGGGGAGCGAACGGG